rfam:Ovis aries breed Texel chromosome 8, whole genome shotgun sequence.
UCCUCGGUGGUCCAGUGGCUAAGACUCUGCACUCCCAAUGCAAGGGGCCUGGGUUCGAUCCCUGGUCAGGGAA